AUUGAACGCUGGCGGCAGGCCUAACACAUGCAAGUCGAGCGGAUGAAGGGAGCUUGCUCCUGGAUUCAGCGGCGGACGGGUGAGUAAUGCCUAGGAAUCUGCCUGGUAGUGGGGGAUAACGUCCGGAAACGGGCGCUAAUACCGCAUACGUCCUGAGGGAGAAAGUGGGGGAUCUUCGGACCUCACGCUGUCAGAUGAGCCUAGGUCGGAUUAGCUAGUUGGUGGGGUAAGGGCCUACCAAGGCGACGAUCCGUAACUGGUCUGAGAGGAUGAUCAGUCACACUGGAACUGAGACACGGUCCAGACUCCUACGGGAGGCAGCAGUGGGGAAUAUUGGACAAUGGGCGAAAGCCUGAUCCAGCCAUGCCGCGUGUGUGAAGAAGGUCUUCGGAUUGUAAAGCACUUUAAGUUGGGAGGAAGGGCAGUAAGUUAAUACCUUGCUGUUUUGACGUUACCAACAGAAUAAGCACCGGCUAACUUCGUG
rnacentral:rRNA from 1 species